GGCUAACGCUGGCGGCGUGUCUUAGCCAUGCAAGUCGAGCGGACUUAUGGGGUAACUUAUAAGUCAGCGGCGGACGGCGGAGUAACACGUAGCUAACCUACCCUCUGGACGGGGAUAACCUACCGAAAGGUGGGCUAAUACCCGAUGUAGUCAUCCUGUAUAGGGGUGAUGAAAGGUGGGCUUCUGUUUACAAGCUCAUGCUGGAGGAGGGGGCUGCGGCCUAUCAGGUAGUUGGUAGGGUAAUAGCCUACCAAGCCGAUGACGGGUAGCCGGCCUGAGAGGGUGACCGGCCCCGAGGGGCACUGAGAUACGGGUCCCACUCCUACGGGAGGCAGCAGGCUAGAAAUUUGGGCAAUGGGGGAAACCCUGACCCAGUGACGCCGCGUGCAGGAAGGAGCCCUUCGGGGUGUAAACUGCUGUCGUGUAGGGAGAAGGGUACUAAAGGUGAACAAUCUUAGUACCUUGACGGUACUACAGGAGGAAGCCCAGGCCUAACCUCGUG
rnacentral:rRNA from 1 species